AACCGACUAGUGUUGCAAAAUUAGCGGAUGAGCUGUGGAUAGGGGUGAAAGGCUAAACAAAUCUGGAGAUAGCUGGUUCUCCCCGAAAACUAUUGAGGUAGUGCCUCGUGACUGACUCCGGGGGGUAGAGCACUGUUAUGGCUAGGGGGACAUGGCGUCUUACCAAACCAUGGCAAACUCCGAAUACCCGGAAGUUGAAUCACGGGAGACAGAGCACCGGGUGCUAACGUCCGGACUCAAGAGGGAAACAACCCAGACCGCCGUUUAAGGUCCCAAAUACAGGCUAAGUGGAAAACGAAGUGUGAAGGCUAAGACAGUCAGGAAGUUGGCUUAGAAGCAGCCAUCCUUCAAAGAAAGCGUAAUAGCUCACUGAUCGAGUCCUCAUGCGCGGAAGAUGUAACGGGGCUAAGUCUGUAACCGAAAGCGCGGAUUUGCACGCAAGUGCAAGUGGUAGGGGAGCGUUCUGUAAGCCUGCGAAGGUGUGUGGUAACGCAUGCCGGAGGUAUCAGAAGUGCGAAUGCUGACAUGAGUAACGAUAAAGCGGGUGAAAAGCCCGCUCGCCGUAAGCCCAAGGUUUCCUGCUCUACGUUCAUCGGAGCAGGGUGAGUCGGCCCCUAAGGCCAGGCUGAGAAGCGUAGCUGAUGGGAAGCAGAUUAAGAUUUCUGCACCGACGUUAAGUGCGAAGGGGGGACGGAGUUUUGAGCAUCAUCCGGGUGUUGGAUGUCCCGGUUUGUGCGUGUAGGAGGCCGGCAGGCAAAUCCGCCGGCGAAUCUCCGAGACAAAGCAUCGAGCUGCAUUUUGCAGUGAAGUGAUGGGAUGAACUUCCAGGAAAAGCCUCUAAGCAAUAGCUUAAUGUCGACCGUACCGUAAACCGACACAGGUGGGCGAGUUGAAUAUACUCAGGCGCUUGAGAGAACUCGGGAGAAGGAACUCGGCAAAUUGACACCGUAACUUCGGGAUAAGGUGUGCCUUUGUAGUGUGAAGAGUGAAACACUCCGAGCAUGAAGAGGUCACAGAGAAUAGGUGGCUGCAACUGUUUACUAAAAACACAGCACUCUGCAAAGACGAAAGUCGACGUAUAGGGUGUGAUGCCUGCCCGGUGCCGGAAGAUUAAGUGAUGGGGUGAGAGCUCCUGAUCGAAGUCCCGGUAAACGGCGGCCGUAACUAUAACGGUCCUAAGGUAGCGAAAUUCCUUGUCGGGUAAGUUCCGACCUGCACGAAUGGCAUAAUGAUGGCCACACUGUCUCCUCCCGAGACUCAGUGAAGUUGAAAUGUUUGUGAUGAUGCAAUCUCCCCGCGGCUAGACGGAAAGACCCCAUGAACCUUUACUGCAGCUUUGCAUUGGACUUUGAACCGAUCUGUGUAGGAUAGGCGGGAGGCAGAGAACCGAGGACGCCAGUCUUUGGGGAGCCGACGUUGAAAUACCGCCCUGAUUUGUUUGAGGUUCUAACCGCGGACAGUAAACCUGUUCCGGGACCGUGCAUGGUAGGCAGUUUGACUGGGGCGGUCUCCUCCUAAAGGGUAACGGAGGAGUACAAAGGUACGCUAGGUACGGUCGGAAAUCGUGCUGAUAGUGCAAUGGCGCAAGCGUGCUUGACUGCGAGACCGACAAGUCGAGCAGAUGCGAAAGCAGGUCAUAGUGAUCCGGUGGCACUGAAUGGAAGGGCCAUCGCUCAACGGAUAAAAGGUACUCCGGGGAUAACAGGCUGAUACCGCCCAAGAGUUCAUAUCGACGGCGGUGUUUGGCACCUCGAUGUCGGCUCAUCUCAUCCUGGGGCUGUAGCCGGUCCCAAGGGUAUGGCUGUUCGCCAUUUAAAGAGGUACGUGAGCUGGGUUUAAAACGUCGUGAGACAGUUUGGUCCCUAUCUUCUGUGGGCGUAGGAGAAUUGAAAGGGCCUGUCCCUAGUACGAGAGGACCGGGAUGGACACACCACUGGUGGACCUGUUGUCGUGCCAACGGCACAGCAGGGUAGCUAUGUGUGGAAGGGAUAACCGCUGAAAGCAUCUAAGCGGGAAGCCUGCCUUAAGAUAAGUUCUCCCUGACGCAAGUCCUGAAGGGCCGAGGUAGACGACCUCGUUGAUAGGCUGGAGGUGGAAGCCCUGUGAGGGGUGGAGCUGACCAGUACUAAUAGCCCGUGCGUCUUGUUUCU
rnacentral:rRNA from 1 species